GCGGGUACGGCGAAGUGGGAGAGUCGCAAUAGUCUGUAAAACUAUCGCCUGAUGGCUAAGCAGGUUCGAAUCCUGCUGCCCGCA
rnacentral:tRNA from 2 species